rnacentral:rRNA from 1 species
GAUGAACGCUAGCGGCAGGCUUAAUACAUGCAAGUCGAGGGGCAGCAGGUCCCGCAGCAAUGUGGGAUGCUGGCGACCGGCAAACGGGUGCGGAACACGUACAGAACCUUCCUUUAAGUGGGGAAUAGCCCGGGGAAACCCGGAUUAAUACCCCGUAACAUAAUGAAGUGGCAUCACUUUAUUAUUAUAGCAGCAAUGCGCUUGAAGAUGGCUGUGCGGCUGAUUAGGUAGUUGGCGGGGUAACGGCCCACCAAGCCUACGAUCAGUAACUGGUGUAAGAGAAGGACAAGUCACACGGGCACGGGGACACGGGCCCGACUCCGACGGGAGGCAGCAGUAAGGAAUAUUGGGCAAUGGACGCAAGUCUGACCCAGCCAUGCCGCGUGGAGGAUGAAGGUCCUCUGGAUUGUAAACUUCUUUUAUCUGGGAAGAAAUCUAUUUUUUCUAAAGUAGUUGACGGUACCAGAUGAAUAAGCACCGGCUAACUCCGUGCCAGCCGCCGCGGUAA